rnacentral:lncRNA from 1 species
ACCUGUGUGAGUUCUCAGGUGCGCCUUGAGGUGCGAAGAUUUCCCGUAAACUUUCUCGCAGCCCGCGUAGUGGCACUUGUGCUUCCUCUGCGGGGACUCGAGGUCCGCGCGGCUGCGGCCCCGCCGACCCCUUUGUCUGAGGCCAGGCUCGCCGCUCCCCGCGGGGCCCGGCUCUGGCUCCAAUGCCGCCUCGGGCUCGCUCCACGCGGGGCUGGGGGGCGCGGCCGGCGCGCCUGCUUGUCCAGGGGAAGCGGGCUCUGGGCCGGGCGGCGGCGCAGGGGGCGCGGGCGGCAGGCGGCAGGGGGUCCUCGCCUUGCGGCAGCAGCCCCUUCUCUGCGUUCCGCGGGGGCGGGGGCCGGCGCCUGCUGGUUGAGGUCCGCUAGGAUCCGAGCUACCACGAAAAGAGAGGCGCUGUCCUUGCCGUCGCGGCGCUCGUCAACGCGGGGCAGUGUGGGGGCGGCGGCGGCCGCGCCCUCGGGCCGGGGUUCAGGUCCUUCCCGCGGCUCGUGCACGACUGCGCGGCUGGACAUGGACACGAGGCACUCGGCGGCAAAGUGGUCCACAUAGGCGGCGGCUGCCAUGCUGCGGGCUCGGGCGCGCGGUGCUCUCGCAGGAGUCGUCAGCGGCGCAUCCGCACCCACGGCCUCCGGAGAGCGGCGGGGGGCGGGGGCGCGGCGCGCCCUCUUCUCCGGCUGGGCUGGGCUAGGCUGGGCGCGUAGCCGCUUCUGCCGUCACCCGCGCGGCUCCGCGUCCUCCUGGCCGGGCACUGG